rnacentral:rRNA from 1 species
CCUACGGGUGGCAGCAGUGGGGAAUAUUGCACAAUGGAGGGAACUCUGAUGCAGCGACGCCGCGUGAGUGAAGAAGUAAUUCGUUAUGUAAAGCUCUAUCAGCAGGGAAGAAAGUGACGGUACCUGAAAAAGAAGCUCCGGCUAAAUACGUGCCAGCAGCCGCGGUAAUACGUAUGGAGCAAGCGUUAUCCGGAUUUACUGGGUGUAAAGGGCGUGCAGCCGGAGAGACAAGUCAGAUGUGAAAUCCACGGGCUCAACCCGUGAACUGCAUUUGAAACUGUUUCCCUUGAGUGUCGGAGAGGUAAUCGGAAUUCCUUGUGUAGCGGUGAAAUGCGUAGAUAUAAGGAAGAACACCAGUGGCGAAGGCGGAUUACUGGACGAUAACUGACGGUGAGGCGCGAAAGCGUGGGGAGCAAACAGGAUUAGAUACCCCAGUAGUC